AUUACUUAUUUUAUCUUGUUUUUUCAUAGAUGUUGCAUGCAAGACGUGUGCUGAUGGCUGCAAGUGUGGAGGCGGCUGCUCAUGCACUGAGGGGAACUGUGCAUGCUAGACGAGGAGGGCCCUUUGCUAUAGGGAUGACAGAUUGAGCAUACAGCUGAUGAAGUGAUCAAUCAGUCAGCGCAUCUGCCAAAAUGCUCCAAGCAGACAUGACUUUGUAUAUUUUCGACCCGAUGCCUUAUAUUUUUCUUGUAAGGUAGUUGUAUAUUAAGUUAAUUUGUGAAAUUUGGAAUGUAUUUCUAAUGCGCCAACUCCACAUGACUAAUGUGUUCCGAGACUCACUCGUGAUUAAAUUUAAGUAAGGCUUUGUAUAUUGUCGACCCGAUGCCUUAUAUUUUCUUGUAAGAUAGUUGUAUAUUAAGUUAAUUUAAACUUUAUUUUUCUGAAAUAUGAGACUAAUUGGCAUUAAAAGGACUACUUAAAUAAACUUUAGUAAGGCUGACAGUAAUGCCUGGUAGAAUUUUACUUCAUUUGUUGCUGCCCUGUAUUGUAAAUUUUUCAGUCUUUUUCUAACUUCUAUCAAAUUGUGAAAUUUGGAAUGUAUUUGUAAUGCGCCAACUCCACAUGACUAAUGUGUUCGAGACUCACUCGUGAUUAAAUUUAAGUAAUGCUACAAUGUA